rnacentral:rRNA from 1 species
CCUACGGGUGGCUGCAGCAAGGAAUUUUCCGCAAUGGGCGCAAGCCUGACGGAGCAACGCCGCGUGCGGGAUGACGCUUUUCGGAGUGUAAACCGCUGUUCGUGGGGACGAAGCACUGACGGUACCCACGGAGGAAGGCCCGGCUAACUACGUGCCAGCAGCCGCGGUAAUACGUAGGGGUCGAGCGUUGUCCGGAGUUACUGGGCGUAAAGCGCGUGCAGGUGGCUCAUUACGCCCGGCGUGAAAGCCCCCGGCUCAACCGGGGAGGGUCGUCG